rnacentral:piRNA from 1 species
UGUGCACAGUGAACCUAUGGGGUUUACUAGA